rnacentral:rRNA from 1 species
UUGAAGAGUUUGAUCAUGGCUCAGAUUGAACGCUGGCGGCAGGCUUAACACAUGCAAGUCGAGCGGAAACGAAGAUAGCUUGCUAUCAGGCGUCGAGCGGCGGACGGGUGAGUAACGCGUAGGAACCUACCUAAUAGUUUGGGAUAGCCAUUGGAAACGAUGAUUAAUACCGGAUACGCCCUACGGGGGAAAGCAGAGGACCUUCGGGCUUUGCGCUAUUAGAUGGGCCUGCGUGAGAUUAGCUAGUUGGUGGGGUAAUGGCCCACCAAGGCGACGAUCUUUAGCUGGUCUGAGAGGAUGAUCAGCCACACUGGAACUGAGACACGGUCCAGACUCCUACGGGAGGCAGCAGUGGGGAAUAUUGGACAAUGGGCGAAAGCCUGAUCCAGCAAUGCCGCGUGAGUGAUGAAGGCCUUAGGGUUGUAAAGCUCUUUUACCAGGGAUGAUAAUGACAGUACCUGGAGAAUAAGCUCCGGCUAACUCCGUGCCAGCAGCCGCGGUAAUACGGAG